CGCGGAAGUCUGCGGAGGGCAGAUUCUUCACGCCUGGGUUCUGCAGGGCAGGCGAGGGCCGUGUUCAUAUGCUGAAAACUAUACAGUGCUGAUGGAAGAAAUCCAAGCAGAUCCAAGUAAAAGAAGAAACAGACUUUGUUCAUGAAUUGGAGGACAGCACAGUGGUGCCAGCUCCCCUGAUGGUGUUGUAGGGUCCAGAUUGAUCAAGAAGAAGAAUGCGCUUACCUGUGCAGCAAAUCCUAUACCCAGCAAAACUGAAGAUGUUGUCAAAUGAAGAAAAACCAAGAGGGUUUGUUUCCAGCUGACUUUCUUCCACCUUUAAAGUUUGGCUAAAGGAAGCUCUCUGUACAGAACAUGGUAACAGGAGGCUGGGGAACUUCAGAAGGAAAAACAAUAGAAUGGAAAAAAUAAGGGGAAAUAGAAUAUCCUUGAGUUUUUAAAAGCCACAUUUGGCAUUUGAAGCAAAAAUUAUGGCAUUAUGCUUGCUUUCUGUGCAGAAAGUAAUCAUGUUUAGACAGUGGGGGAAUGGUGGAAGAAAUCCAAGCAGAUCCAAGCAAAAGGAGAAAUGGACUUUGUUCAUGGACCAGAGCACAGCAAGCAGGAUAAUUCUCCCAUCUUUGGCUUUGGUAUCCAAAGCUCCUGGAUGAAGGAAGUGUUUUCAUACUUCCCAGAAAGCAGAGAAACAGCCACAGGGGUGGGUUCCAAGAAGUACAUCCACAUGUUGUGAUACUAGAACCACCACUAAAAAAUGGGAAAACAAAAUGGUAUUUCCCAAAACUUUAUAAGUAAAUCAAGACAAUUCUAAAGAAAAGUACAAGUUAUCCAUUGGAAUGUAAGGGGGAAAAAAGGAACCAAAUAAAAACAACCAAUGUAAGCUCUAAUAAUUUAAUUAGUUGAUACCCUGAAUA